UCCUCAGUAGCUCAAUGGUAGAGAGCAACCGGCUGUUAACCGGUAGGCUGUAGGUUCGAGUCCUACCUGAGGAGCCA
rnacentral:tRNA from 1 species